rnacentral:lncRNA from 1 species
CCCUCCACAGGGUACCUCUGGUUCAAAUCCCCAGCAAAGACAUGGAAGAAUUUUUGCAACGCGCCAAAUCUAAACUGCUGUUCUGGUAGACCCCAGGAAAUCAGGACAGAAUCGAAGCAAACGCUUGGAGAAGGUUCAUGUGGUCAUUGGCCCCAAAUCAUGUGACCUGGAUUCUCUCAUUUCUGCCUUUACCUAUGCUUACUUUCUAGACAAGGUGAGAGGAAGGAGAAUUAUGUCAUUUAUACUUGAAUUAUUAUGUACCUU